rnacentral:rRNA from 1 species
AACGAACGCUGGCGGCGCGCCUAAUACAUGCAAGUCGAGCGAGAAGACGUAGCAAUACGUUUGUAAAGCGGCGAACGGGUGAGGAAUACAUGGGUAACCUACCCUCGAGUGGGGAAUAACUAGCCGAAAGGUUAGCUAAUACCGCGUACGCUCCUUGGACUUCGGUUCAGGGAGGAAAGCGAUACCGUGGGUAUCGCGCUCUUGGAUGGGCUCAUGUCCUAUCAGCUUGUUGGUGAGGUAACGGCUCACCAAGGCUUCGACGGGUAGCUGGUCUGAGAGGACGAUCAGCCACACUGGCACUGCGACACGGGCCAGACUCCUACGGGAGGCAGCAGUAAGGAAUAUUGCGCAAUGGGCGAAAGCCUGACGCAGCGACGCCGCGUGGGGGAUGAAGGUCUUCGGAUUCGUAAACCCCUUUCGGGGAGGGAAGAUGGAACGAGCAAUCGUUCGGACGGUACCUCCAGAAG